AUAUCUCUCUGUACGGGAAGGAUGAGAAGCUUCGACUAAGGUUCGAUUCGAGCGUCAGCGAGAAAGCGUUGCCGCAGGCAACGACCCGAAGGGCGAAGCGCGC
rnacentral:sRNA from 5 species